ACAGACAUUAAUUUAUGAAACACCUGAAUCACGAGGCUUCGGCUAACGGGGUGAUCAAUCGAGAUGAGUGACACAAAGGAAAGCCCAGGUUGGCAGUCCAUGCUGCAAUCGAACACAAUAAGCUUCGCCGAAGGAGCGCCCGCUCGAGCUAUACACGAAGGAUCAACUCCCUCUGCGCCACCACGCCUUGAAAAAAAAGGAGGAAAAAAGGGUGAAAGCGUGUUGUACUGUGAAUCCUCUGCUCCCUCUGCUCGUCUCCUCGAUUUCGGCCUCUCUCUCGUUUUCUCACCAGAGUGGCGGCUAGGGUUACCGCAGCCGCUGCCCCAUCCCUGCUCGUAGCCUCAACCCCACAAGCACGCACAUGCAACUGCUCGAGGUGAGAAGCAACGCCUGGAUGCGGCUGCUGGAGGAGCAGCGGUGGUGGACGGGCUCAUGGCAGCAACGACUGCAGAGAGCUGCGGCGGCCGUCUGUGGAGGAGCAGCAGCGGCCGACGGCAGAUCGGCGUGUCACAGGAGCGGAUACGGCGGCAGUCAUGAGCAGGGCAGCACGACGUUCGGGCCCUCCAAGCCCACAACCACUGCAUCUUUGCCCGCGUCUACAAGCUUUUCCUGUUGUGGUGUUAUUGCAAUCCAGGAACUUGGUCGUAUGGUGUUCACUGAAAAGAAGAAUCUGCUAAAAGGUUGGAUGUGCGUUGUACGUGGACAUGAACUUGUUCCUGGGAUUCAGAAGGGAGCACAUGCCAUGGAACUUCGAGAACACGGAGAACCAUGUGUACCUCCAGGUGCGAUGUUGCUAAUUUUGUUCCCUGUUAGAAUUGGCCGCCCUAUGGGAUUCCUAUCACAUUUUCUUGAUCUGGGAUGACUAUGUGUCCUGUCCUUGUGACCGAUGCAUGCCGUAUGCUGGUUCUAUUGGGAUUCCACCAUUAGCAGAAAGAUCAAGGCGGUGGGCGGUUGCGUUACUGCUUCCCCGUCAAUCUCGGUUGUCCCCAUUGAGGGGACGAGUGGAGGCUGUUGCGGUCAUGUCAUCCAGAGUCGGUAUGUGCAGCCAUGGCCUACUCCUCCUACCCACAUGGUCUCUCGGCCGGCAGUGGUAUUUGGGUAUGUUGAUGAAUCAUGAGGGAAGCCAUGUUCGAAAUCAUUAUUGUGGAUUACGGAAGUCCUGAUGGAACUCAAGGCAUUGUAAAGCAGGUGCAGCAAGCAUACAGCAAAGAUCCUGUUGUAACUUAACAAACAUGCCGAUGUAUGAGUAUGUAUAUAUAUGUGGUCCAGAUUUAGGUUUGGUGUUCCUUCACGCCAAGACCAGCGUCGAGCUCAACAAGAUAGCCGAGAUGUGCGUACAGAUAGAAGCGGUUCUGCAGGAGAUGAGGGAGUAGCUGGUGGUCAGGACGACGAAGAUCAGCACAAUGACGGCUGCUUUGCCAUGCCAGUGCCACACUGCGGCUGCUACACGCAUAGACCGCCAUGACGCCGGCGCCACACUUCGCCUGGUCCACGUACGGAUGGUUAUGAACCGGCGUCACGAUUUGGCUGGUACAUGCAUGGAUGGCCAUGUCAUCUUGCCCCGAACCGGCUCAUCCCUGCCAUUUCCGCCGGGAUAAACGAGUUGUUGGAGGAAGAUGGGGAGAUGAGCUGUUCUACUCAUCGACAAGAAAUCACUUGGACAGAACUUCCUUUUCACAAUGAGAGGAAAAUGCUCUCAUGAGGUUGAUUGAUUUGGGGUUCUCUGAUUUCAUUAGUUAGACCAAGUAAAGUAAAUUGACUUUCUUAUCUUUAUAUGCACUAACAUGUGGUACAAGCAUAUUGGUCUGUUGUUGCCAAGGGAUCAUCAGCUUGAUCUAGCAAAUCUCAUUUCUUUUUCUAUUUGUUUCCUGUUCAUUGGACAUCUUUCUUUCCAUCUUAAUUACUUAUUGUAAAAAGAAAGAGCACAUGAAUCAACUUACAGCAGAGAAAUAAUGCUGUGGUUUGUUGUGCUACUUUGGCCAGUUUGCUUGAAAGAUUUGACAUGUCUAAUCCUGUCAUAUUCCUGUGCAUUGUCUGUCAUGGGCUCAUCAAGUUCACAUUACUUGUAUGUACAUGUUCUGCCAACAGGAUAAAAGAGAAACUGAAAGGUGCGGCCACCAACCUGGCACCACAGCAUAACGCCUCAGGCAGUGCGCCAUGGGCGCGGCCCAAAUGCUAGUUUUGAUAAUGUGUUGCUAAUUCCUGAUGCCUUCUAUGCCUAUAUUAAUAAAUUUAAGUCUCUAAUCCGUAGAGAUACAACAAAUAGUGUACAAAAUGGGUCUGCAUAGUCCUAAGGAGAAGAAGCAAAAUUGUGUAUAUGUUUUGCUCAGCAGAGCCUUUCUCUUAGAGAAGACAAGACCAAGGUCGUAGGUAGUGAGAUUAAUUCGUUGGUUUACCUGUAGAUAUCUGCUAUGUGUCUGUUGGUUGUGGCUUUAGUACUUGGGUGGGGACUAGGGACAACUUUAUCAAUUCUUUAAGCAAACUGUAUUUCUUUAUCUUUUUUCUUCUUCUAAAAAGGAAUAUAUU